rnacentral:rRNA from 1 species
GCAUAUCAAUAAGCGGAGGAAAAGAAAAUAACAAUGAUUCCCUCAGUAACGGCGAGCGAAGAGGGAUAAGCUCAAAUUUUAAAUCUGUUGGGUUCCACUUAACAGAGUUGUAUUUUGAAGAAACGUUUUCUGCGUCCAGGAUUAGCCUAAAUCCUUUGGGAUAAGGUAUCAUGGAGGGUGAGAAUCCCGUUCAUGGUUAAUCUUAAGGAAGCUCUACGAUACGUUUUCCAAGAGUCGAGUUGUUUGGGAUUGCAGCUCAAAAUGGGAGGUAAAUUUCUCCUAAGGCUAAAUAUAGGCGAGAGACCGAUAGCGAACAAGUACCGUGAGGGAAAGAUGAAAAGAACUUUGAAAAGAGAGUUAAACAGUACGUGAAAUUGUUGGAAGGGAAACGAUUAAAGUCAGUCAUACCAACGGGGAAUCAACCUUUUGAGCUCGGUCUCGUGGGUUUUGAAGAGUUUCAAAGCCUUCGGAUUCGCGGGAUUGGGAUCUCUUGGCGUACUUUUUCGUACGGUUAGUCAACAUCGGUUUUGAAUGUCAUAAAAUGACUGGAGGAAUGUAGCUUCGAUCUCGUAUUGGAGUGUUAUAGCCUUUGGUAGAUGUGAUGUUUGAGACCGAGGAUUGCAACGGAUACCCUUCAGGGCUAUUCGUACUGAUCUCUGAUACGUUGCCUUGAUGUUGAAAGCUUGCUUAUGAUGUUAGGGUAUUACGGUCAAAAGGUUAGAACGAAUUACAUUCGUUAAGGAUGUUGACGUAAUGGCUUUAAACGAC